rnacentral:rRNA from 1 species
GCUCGGCUUCGUAGUGACUGCGGAGGAUCAUUACCGAGUGAGGGCCCUCUGGGUCCAACCUCCCACCCGUGUUUAUUUUACCUUGUUGCUUCGGCGGGCCCGCCUUAACUGGCCGCCGGGGGGCUUACGCCCCCGGGCCCGCGCCCGCCGAAGACACCCUCGAACUCUGUCUGAAGAUUGAAGUCUGAGUGAAAAUAUAAAUUAUUUAAAACUUUCAACAACGGAUCUCUUGGUUCCGGCAUCGAUGAAGAACGCAGCGAAAUGCGAUACGUAAUGUGAAUUGCAAAUUCAGUGAAUCAUCGAGUCUUUGAACGCACAUUGCGCCCCCUGGUAUUCCGGGGGGCAUGCCUGUCCGAGCGUCAUUGCUGCCCUCAAGCCCGGCUUGUGUGUUGGGCCCCGUCCCCCGAUCUCCGGGGGACGGGCCCGAAAGGCAGCGGCGGCACCGCGUCCGGUCCUCGAGCGUAUGGGGCUUUGUCACCCGCUCUGUAGGCCCGGCCGGCGCUUGCCGAUCAACCCAAAUUUUUAUCCAGGUUGACCUCGGAUCAGGUAGGGAUACCCGCUGAACUUAAGCAUAUCAAUAAGGCGGAGGAAA